rnacentral:rRNA from 1 species
CGAAUAAGAAGGUCCGGCUAACUUCGUGCCAGCAGCCGCGGUAAUACGAAGGGACCUAGCGUAGUUCGGAAUUACUGGGCUUAAAGAGUUCGUAGGUGGUUGAAAAAGUUAGUGGUGAAAUCCCAGAGCUUAACUCUGGAACUGCCAUUAAAACUUUUCAGCUAGAGUAUGAUAGAGGAAAGCAGAAUUUCUAGUGUAGAGGUGAAAUUCGUAGAUAUUAGAAAGAAUACCAAUUGCGAAGGCAGCUUUCUGGAUCAUUACUGACACUGAGGAACGAAAGCAUGGGUAGCGAAGAGGAUUAGAUACCCUCGUAGUCCAUGCCGUAAACGAUGUGUGUUAGACGUUGGAAAUUUAUUUUCAGUGUCGCAGGGAAACCGAUAAACACACCGCCUGGGGAGUACGACCGCAAGGUUAAAACUCAAAUGAAUUGACGGGGACCCGCACAAGUAGUGGAGCAUGUGGUUUAAUUCGAAGAUACGCGCAGAACCUUACCAACACUUGACAUGUUCGUCGCGACUCUAAGAGAUUAGAGUUUUCGGUUCGGCCGGACGAAACACAGGUGCUGCAUGGCUGUCGUCAGCUCGUGUCGUGAGAUGUUGGGUUAAGUCCCGCAACGAGCGCAACCCUCACUUUUAGUUGCCAUCAUUAAGUUGGGCACUCUGAAAGAACUGCCAGUGAUAAGCUGGAGGAAGGUGGGGAUGACGUCAAGUCCUCAUGGCCCUUACGUGUUGGGCUACACACGUGCUACAAUGGUAUCUACAACAGGAAGCAAGACUGCGAAGUUAAGCAAAUCCCUAAAAGAUACCUCAGUUCGGAUUGCACUCUGCAACUCGAGUGCAUGAAGCUGGAAUUACUAGUAAUCGUGGAUCAGCGUGCCACGGUGAAUGCGUUCCCGGGUCUUGUACACACCGCCCGUCACACCAUGGGA